rnacentral:tRNA from 1 species
GGGGUUGUGGUGUAACGGCAGCACAUCGGCCUUUUAAGCCGGGGAGUGGGGGUUCGAGUCCCUCCGGCCCCA